GAUGAACGCUGGCGGCGUGCCUAACACAUGCAAGUCGAACGGACAUUUUUUGGAAAGUUCUUCGGAACCGGAAUCUAAAUGUUAGUGGCGGACGGGUGAGUAACGCGUGAGCAAUCUGCCUUUCAGAGGGGGAUAACAGCCGGAAACGGCUGCUAAUACCGCAUAAUGUCAUUCGGAGGCAUCUCUGAGUGACCAAAGAUUUAUUGCUGAAAGAUGACCUCGCGUCUGAUUAGCUAGUUGGUGAGGUAAUAGCUCACCAAGGCGACGAUCAGUAGCCGGACUGAGAGGUUGAACGGCCACAUUGGGACUGAGAUACGGCCCAG
rnacentral:rRNA from 1 species